rnacentral:lncRNA from 1 species
UUCAAAAGGUGGAGAGAGGUGUUCUUGAGAUACAACUUGAAUGUGUUCCUCUCACUCAAUGAUAACAACAUUCUCCUUUUCUCCCUCUUUUGUUUUCUUGUUUAUGCUACUUUCUACCUCAAAACCUUUGUAAAAAACCAUUAUAUUAAUUGUAUGUUGAUACAGUCAUUAAGAAUCAAUUUCAUGAACCAUUAUAUUGCAUGUUGGUUUUUUACCACCAUUGGUCCAUUACCUGAUUCUUAGAAAAGGUUUUUUGUCCGGUGACUAAUAACAUCAAAUAUGGAUAUGGAAACCAGUGUAUAUGUUUCUCAAAAUGGAUAUAAUAUUUUUUUAAUGCAGAAUAAUUAUGCUAUUAUAACUAUGAAAAAUACUACAAACAAUUCUACAAAUCAAAAUCAUAAUGGACACUGUGUUUUUUUUUUCUCAAAUGGACACAAUGUUUAUUUUAAAUUAUUUUUAAUCAAAACCAUAAUGAAAUUAAUCUUGUUUUGGUUUGCUCUGGCCUUUAGAGGCUCAUCUUGCAAGUCGCCUAUGCUUUAUUUUGCAACUAAGAUCUUUGUAACAUGAUCUUUCCAUUAACAAGAGUAUAGUAGGCAAAAUGAAUAACAAGCAUCAAAAUCCAAGAGAUGAGAAGUUCAUAUAGCGGCAGAAACACAUGAGACAAUUCAUCCAAAAUACUAAUUAAAUAAAAAGCUAAAUGUUUUUCAGAAAUCUUUCACCAUGAGACUUUGCAAGGCACAAACUUGACGCUUAUUGUCCGCAGUGUAUAUAACGGCCAGCAACUAGGAAUACGAAUAGACCGAAUACCUCCGCCGAGCUGCACAUAGUUGGUUGGCCUAAGUACCUUAGAUUCAUAAGCCCAGCCCCCAGGGACCUACAGAAAAUUAAAGUAACAAAUGAUUAUCUAUCGAGAAUGUUUUCACACUAUAAAGAGCAUUCCUAGGUGUCGUAGACAUCUAACUUAAAGAUGCCAAGACUCCAGACUUUAUCAUUCUCUCCAGCUCACAAAUAAACACAACAAGUGAAAACCAUCAUCACUGAAGCUUUUGACACAAACUAUUGCUUAACAUUCUCUAACAUGGUGGUGGUGACAUAAAUGCAUAUAAGACUGAGCUUGAAAGUAUGUUUUCAACAAGAAAAAUCAAACAAUGUUCUUUCCAGUUUCUCAUCAGAAAAUAUUUCAUUACAAGCUUGAAAAAUAUGUUACCUUGAAUAUAGUCGCCUCGUAAGUUCCAAAAACAUCACCUGAGAUAUAUAUACACAAGAUUUCAAAUAAAUAAGGGUUUUCCAGAGUGGAAAAAGAAAAUGAAAGGGGGAGAAAAGUUUACCUACAACGCCGCCAAGUGCGCCGCCCACGGCAGCGAUUCUACUCAAACAACUAUUUUCUCUCGCCAUCUUUCAACAGUUUUUUUUUUUUUGUUUUUGAGAAUUUUUCAGACAACUUCUUUGCUGUGUGUUUCUGUCGGUAAAUAAUUUUACGCUUGUCCUCGCCGCUUUUAAAGUUUUUUAUUUCCUUGGAGAUAAAGGCCAACAGUCAUCGACCUCGUAUAGAACCAGUUUAAACCGCAGCCCUGCAAGCCCGGUUCAUUUGGUUUAACUGAAUUAAAUUACGGUUCAGAUCUAAACUAAUCGAAUUAACUGGCCUUUAUCGCAAAUUCGCCCCAAAUAUGAUAAAACUGUAAUCUGCUUCAAGAAGAUCAUUGGCAUGAUCCGUGGCGGGUGCUGGUCAUAUGUAUGCUUCUUAACAAAACUUCUGGUGCACAGGUUUGUCGUCACUCUUCUAUCUCUCUCUCUCCAUAUCUUUGCUGAGCUUAUAUUGUUUAGGAGCAUCUCAGACCAAAUUAGUUAAGUUUUGCCAUUUGCUUGUUGCAUACCUUUUUCAAUCAGUUUGACAGCAAUUAGUACAUGAAUGAGACAAGUCCAAAGGAAGUAGAUGCAAGUAUUUGGUUUGCUGAGUGAUUGAUUGAUCCAUGAAUGGAACUGCUUGCUCUUGUUGAAUGCAGUUUGAAGUAACCUAUAAUGGGAAGUGGGAUUGUAUAAGACCUGAUGAUCAUAUGCUAAACUAUUACCGGGAAGUCCUUAGGAUUCGUUAUAUGUUAUGAGUUGGGUUACAAGUAUAUAUUGUGCUCUGUUUUUUUUUGGUGUUGUCAAUGUUGAAAAGUUGUAAAUGAUAGAGAUCUUGUCAUAGAGUUUGUUUAAACUUUUAAUGUGUUUUGGUUUGGAAUCAUAUUAUCAACGGAAAAACUUCUGUUUGACCAGAAAAGGUAGCAAAUAAAUGCGUGUACAGUAAGUUAGGUUUAUAUUCAACACAAUUAAAUUUAACGCGGAGAAAAUCCGAACUAAUCAAAACUUUGAUGUAUUUGAUGUAAUUUGGUAUCAUUGAUUUUAUUAGCACAUGCAAUAAUCAGAACGUUUAAUUUGUGUGUGUUAUCAUUGAAAUUGUGGUUCUAAAUAAAGACAUUUGUGACGUUGUUUUGCCAAAACUAAUCAAGAAGUAGUAAAUAAAUAAAUAUCGUAAUAAUGGGUGAUAAUAUGACAUGUCAAAUUGUCAAUUACAAAAUUUCAGAAAAAAAAUUGGAAAAUAAAUCUCAUUGGUGUAUCUCCUCUCAUCUCAUCUCUGGCCGACAAAUAAAACACACCUAAUCAUAGGCUUCUCCAUCUCCUUUGUUUGGAGGAUGAUGUAAUUUCUCAGACAUCAUUUCUCCAAAUCCUUUCGAAACUUUGUUUUUGUUUUCUUUGUUUCGGUUUUCUUCUCCUCGUGUUAUUAUUCAAACAUAACCUGUUCUCCUCGGUCUUCCACAAAAUAAAAUAAUAAUAAUUCAGCUGAUCUAUAGAGCUUUUAGGUUCUUCCAAGAAACUGAACAUUGAAGGAAGGCCUUGCUGAGUUUGGAUUUUCGUAGUUGUCCCUUGUUUACGGUAUCCUCGACGAAUCCUUUAUAAACUUUUCAUUGGUGAAGUCAAGUUAUUUUUUUAAUCGUUUUUUUUUUAAUUCAGAUUCUCGUUGUUUGACAAUGCAAUGGCUCUUCAGGGGAUGUCAUGAUUUGUGGAAAAUCUUUCGGACAAAACCUGUUUGAAUGCCCCACUUUUUUGUCUGAACAUCUUCUCAUUGUCACGGCUCUAAGUUCGAAAUGUCUCUCGGCCAAGAACAUGACAAUCCCUUUGAAGUUUCUGGUAACCAGCACAAACCCAUUAAUAUUUACAAUGUUUUCCUAUGAUAAAACGGUUUCAAAUGCUGUCUUUGUGUUUUUAGGGUCGCAUGCUUGCUUAUAUGACCUGUUAUGUUUAGAGACAUCAAACGAGACUCUUGAAAAUGAUUUUCAGACAUCUUCUUCUGGUAAUAAUAAUACCUAAAACUUUUCUAAGUUAAUGAUGUAGAUGAUGAUUAUGCUGGUGUUACUUAGAGACAAUCUCAUUCUCAUGUCAUGUUUUGACAUUUUCAGAUCCCCGAGAUCGGUUAGAGAAGUUGCUGAAACAACCUGCGAAUAAAUAUUGUGCUGACUGUGGAUCUCCUGAACCUAAAUGGGUGUACGUUGAUCGAUUUAUAUGUGUAGCAUUUCUACAUUUUCUUCUAUUCAUGGAUCGACUCAUUUCCUUUGAUGUUUUUUAGAUCGUUAAGUCUCGGUGUGUUUAUCUGCAUUAAGUGUUCUGGUGUACACAGAAGCCUUGGAGUUCAUAUAACAAAGGUACUUUUCUUUCUCAUCUCUAUGUUUUCUUUUUGUCUAGAGCCUUUUAACCGAUUUUUUUAUUUAAUCACAGGUCUUAUCAGUUAAGCUAGAUGAUUGGACAGAUGAUCAAGUUGAUAUGCUCGCAGAGUACGGUGGAAACACUGUGGUGAACCAGAGAUUCGAAGCUUGCAACAUCGACCAUUUAAAGAAACCCAAACCUGAUUCCAAUAAUGAUGAACGCAAUGAUUUCAUCAGGUGACAAUAAUAAUAAACAGUUUGUUAUAGUCUCAUGCAUGUAUAGUUUAUCUCACUGUUUAUGUCUUGAAAUCUGCAGAAAGAAGUAUGAGCUGCACCAGUUUAUGGAUCCAAAAGAUUGUGCUCUGUGCCCUUAUCAGCAGCCUAGCAAGAUAAAUGAUUCGACACCGUCUUUAUGUUCUGCAAACCACCGUUCUACGAAAAACCGUAUUGGUAAUGCAUUUAGGAAUAGCUGGGGAAGAAGAGAAUCUGAUCACAAAGGCCACAAGAAGAGCAAUUCUCUGGUAAGCAACCAUUACACCUACAUACAUGCAUACAUGUUUAGUUUAGGUAAUACAGUGUUACUAAUGUUAGUUAUUGUGGGUGUGUGUUUUAUAGGCAGGUAUGAUUGAGUUUGUCGGAUUGAUUAAGGUUAAUGUGGUUAAAGGAACUAACUUAGCGGUCCGAGAUGUGAUGACCAGUGAUCCUUAUGUUAUCCUUACUCUUGGCCAACAAGUAAGCUCUCUGAAAAAGAUUUCUCUACCCUUGUGACUUAAAACUAAACUAGUCAUGUAAACUAAGUCUGGUCUUGUUCUUUAUGUUGUUGAAGUCGGUUAAAACAAGGGUAAUAAAGAACAACUUGAAUCCUGUGUGGAAUGAGACGCUGAUGCUUUCUAUACCUGAGCAGAUGCCUCCUCUCAAAGUGGUAAGUGCACAUCUCUUUUUAACUUGUGGGUUGAAGAAUAAUAACAAUUACUGAAACAGAGAGCUCUGUUCUUAAACUCAUUAACUUAAAGGUCCAAACUAUUAACUGAUUGUUGUUAAAACUAGUACCACGAGCUAUACCAAACUCUUAACAUGUGUUUUUUCAGUUGGUAUACGACAAGGAUACGUUCUCGACAGAUGAUUUCAUGGGGGAGGCAGAGAUAGACAUACAACCACUGGUGAGUGCAGCGAAAGCUUACGAGACAUCGAGCAUUAAAGAGCCGAUGCAGCUGGGGAGCUGGGUGGCGAGCAAAGAGAACACGUUGGUGAGCGAUGGAAUAAUCUCACAGGAAGAAGGGAAAGUGAAACAAGACAUAUCACUCAGGCUUCAAAAGGUGGAGAGAGGUGUUCUUGAGAUACAACUUGAAUGUGUUCCUCUCACUCAAUGAUAACAACAUUCUCCUUUUCUCCCUCUUUUGUUUUCUUGUUUAUGCUACUUUCUACCUCAAAACCUUUGUAAAAAACCAUUAUAUUAAUUGUAUGUUGAUACAGUCAUUAAGAAUCAAUUUCAUGAACCAUUAUAUUGCAUGUUGGUUUUUUA